GCGCCACAAAGUCCAGCUAAUUUUUUGCAUUUUUCGUAGAGAUGAGGUUUCACCAUGUUGGCCAGGCUGGUCUCGAACUCCCAACCUCAAGUGAUCCGCCCGCCUCGGCCUCUCAAAAGUGCUGGGAUUACAGGCUUAAGCCACCACACCCAGCCUAUUUUCAUCUCCUUAUUUUCAAUACUGGGGUGGCCAAACUGUGCCCUUCAAGCCAAAUCCAGCCCAAGACCUGUUUUAAUAUAUAAAAUUUUACUGGAACACAGCUAUGUCAUUCUUGUACAUACUGUUCAUAGCUGUUUUCUUACUAUAAGGGCAAAAACAAAAGGUUGAGAAACACAGUAUGGCCCUUAAAGUCUAAAUUUUACUAUCUGUCCCUUUAAAGAAAGUUUGUUGACUCCUGUUCUAUGUUAUCUACAAUGAAUAGCCAUAACUUUAGCAAUAAAAAUUAUUUUGGAUGUGGUGGUGCAUGUAUGCCUAUAGUCCAGGCUACUUAACAGGCUGAGGCUGGAGGAUCACUUGAGUCAGGAGUUCGAGACCAGCCUGGCCAACAUGGUGAAACCCCAUCUCUACUAAAAAUACAAAAAAAUUAGCU
rnacentral:lncRNA from 1 species